rnacentral:rRNA from 1 species
CGAAUCAUUCACAAUGGGCGAAAGCCUGAUGGUGCGACGCCGCGUGAGGGAUGAAGGCCUUCGGGUUGUAAACCUCUGUCACCGGGGAAGAAACGCUGCAAGUUAACAGCUUGCAGCCUGACUUAACCCGGCGAGGAAGCAGUGGCUAACUCUGUGCCAGCAGCCGCGGUAAUACAGAGACUGCAAGCGUUAUUCGGAUUCACUGGGCGUAAAGGGUGCGCAGGCGGCCAAGUGUGUGAGGCGUGAAAGCCCGAUGCUCAACAUCGGAAUUGCACCUCAAACUACAUGGCUAGAGCAUUGGGGAGGGUAGCGGAAUUCACGGUGUAGCAGUGAAAUGCGUAGAUAUCGUGAGGAACACCAGAGGCGAAGGCGGCUACCUGGACAAUUGCUGACGCUCAGGCACGAAAGCGUGGGGAGCAAA